rnacentral:rRNA from 1 species
GAAAGAUUCAUCGGAAGAGGAUGGGCAUGCGGCGCAUUAGCUAGACGGCGGGGUAACGGCCCACCGUGGCGACGAUGCGUAGGGGUUCUGAGAGGAAGGUCCCCCACACUGGUACUGAGACACGGACCAGACUCCUACGGGAGGCAGCAGUGAGGAAUAUUGGUCAAUGGGAGAGAUCCUGAACCAGCCGAGCCGCGUGAGGGAAGACGGCCCUAUGGGUUGUAAACCUCUUUUGUCGGAGAACAAAACCCGGGACGUGUCCCGGACUGCGUGUAUCCGAAGAAAAAGCAUCGGCUAACUCCGUGCCAGCAGCCGCGGUAAUACGGAGGAUGCGAGCGUUAUCCGGAUUUAUUGGGUUUAAAGGGUGCGUAGGCGGUCCGUUAAGUCAGCGGUAAAAUUGCGGGGCUCAACCCCGUCGAGCCGUUGAAACUGGCAGACUUGAGUUGGCGAGAAGUACGCGGAAUGCGCGGUGUAGCGGUGAAAUGCAUAGAUAUCGCGCAGAACUCCGAUUGCGAAGGCAGCGUACCGGCGCCAGACUGACGCUGAGGCACGAAAGCGUGGGGAUCGAACAGGAUUAGAUACCCUGGUAGUCCACGCAGUAAACGAUGAAUGCUGGUUGUCCGGGUCGAAUGAGACCUGG